AUGGCCGAUGGGCCUCAACAGGUUACUGACGUCAGCCAAACUCCGAAUGCCGGUGAGUGAGAGCGCAGCAGUGAGACGGUGGGGGAUAAGCUUCAUCGUCGAGAGGGAAACAGCCCGGAUCACCAGCUAAGGCCCCUAAAUGACCGCUCAGUGAUAAAGGAGGUAGGGGUGCAGAGACAGCCAGGAGGUUUGCCUAGAAGCAGCCACCCUCUAAGGAGUGCGUAAUAGCUCACUGAUCAAGCGCUUUUGCGCCGAAAAUGACCGGAACUAAGUUUUUUGCCGAAGCUGUGGCUACAUCACACAGAUGAUGUAGGGUAGAGGAGCGUUCCGCCCAGGGGGAAGCCAAGCGCGUAAGCCGCGGUGGACAGGGCGGAAGUGAGAAUGUCAGCUUGAGUAACGCAAACAUUGGUGAGAAUCCAGUGCCCCGAAAACUCAAGGGUUCCUGCGCAAGGCUCGUCCGCGCAGGGUCAGUCAGGACCUAAGGUGAGGCCGAAAGGCGUAAUUGAUGGCAAGAAGGUUUAUAUUCCUUCACUAGUCUAGGCUUAGUCCUGAGGGACGAACAAAUAACACUCGGCACAAUGGCCUUCCAUGGUAGGAAGGGUCAAACCAUUGUUGUUUGAUGGUAUUUUUUCCAAGAAAAGCUCAUUCGACUUUGAGUCUAGACUACCUGUACCGUAAACCGACACAGGUGAGUGGGUUGAAUAAACUAAGGGGAGCGAGAUAACUCUCUCUAAGGAACUCGGCAAAUUGGCUCUGUACCUUCGGAAGAAAGAGUGCCCCUCAGGGGGCCGCAGUGAAGAGAUCCAGGCGACUGUUUACCAAAAACACAGGUCUCCGCAAAGUCGUAAGACGACGUAUGGGGGCUGACACCUGCCCAGUGCCAGAAGGUUAAAGAAGUUGGUCAAUCUAUGAUGAAGCUAACGACUGAAGCCCUGGUGAACGGCGGCAGUAACAAUAACUGUCCUAAGGUAGCGAAAUUCCUUGUCGGGUAAGUUCCGACCCGCACGAAAGG
rnacentral:rRNA from 1 species